rnacentral:lncRNA from 1 species
UAUAGCAAUAAUUGAGAAUGUAAAAGCAGUGUAUUUAUUAUGCAUAGUGCAAAUGAAAUAUCCAGUGUUGGUUAAUCUGCGCCGCAAAUAAACAACUAUUGAGAGUGUUAUCAACAAUGCUUUGAGGUUAAAGACAAAACAUUGAAGAUUUCAUGAUUGCUAAAAAAUGCCGACUGAAACUAACGGCGAGGGCAUUGCUAAUAGCACGAAAGAGUGUCCAGUUGAACAAAAACCUCUGUCCGGUGGAAAUGAGGAUGUGGAAGUUAAUAUAACUGGGUGCGUAAAUUCUGGCAAGGCGAUCGAAGAAGCUUCCGAGGAUCUCACCGAGUAUUCUAGUUCUUUUGGUGAUACAGGCUCUGAUGUAGAGAGUGACUCAGCGUGCAACGAUACUGAAGUUGAGUCACAAAUGUGCGCUGACAAUGCAUCCUUGCUCAUGUGUGAUGAUUGGAGUGAACCACGUCGAGUAAGGUAUGUGUUGAUUCAAAUUCUUUCAUGUUUCUAUUCUUCCCGUUGUCUAUAGGAAGCUAGAACGCGAAAGUGGAAAAAAGGUUAAAGAACUAACAACACAUCCUUCUAUAUCUACUUCGUUUCCUAUAUGUACAUGCACACAGAGAAACACCAUAUUUUUUAAAUUAUUGGUCGAUGUUUUAUUAACCGAAUUGGAGAUUGAACUGUAGAAACCUUUGGUUCAUGUUUUGAUUGGUUCGAAAAGUUAAAUUUGUAAUGGAUGAAGUACCCCUUGUACUUCAAUUCUAAUAAAAUCUGUCUUGUCAAAAAAGUUAAAUUUGUAAUUGAACCAUGGUCGAACUGGAUUAUGUCCACAUGGAGACGUAGGCAGCUCACAGUUCAACCGGUUCAACCAACCGAUUUGGUCUGAUUUUUAAAAUAUUAUUAUUGGUUAAUUAAAUUCAUCCGUACGAUGUAAAAAGUUACAGUCUUACUCUUUUCGUGGAGUUUGUUCUAUUCGAGUAGGUCAAAUAAAGGAAGCUCUUAAUAGUAUCCAUUUUUAAAAUAUCUCACAUUUUCGCGCCAAAUUGAUAACAUAAAUUUUAUUUAAUUUUUUGUGCAUUGAUUUUAUAUCUCACAUUCUUUCUAUGCUUUGAUUGUUUUCUAUAUUUGUGCCUAUGUUCUGAAGAUAUGUUUUCUUUCACUUCUUGCAUUUGAACUUAAUUUAAUUUCUCAUGUAUCGUCGGUGCGCAGCAUGAUUUACGUGCUAUUGGAUUUCUUCUCCCUGGUAGAGGUGCUUGAUUUAUGAGAAAUUCAAUUUUGGGUGCUUUAUUUGAAUUAUGAAUAGCUUUCAUGAUUGUAACCUAAAUAGUCAAUCCCAGUGGGAUUUGCCGGAUCGUGUCCCGGCAAAGGGCAUCGCAGUGAUGCAAUUCUGGCUGGCGUCCCGGUUCACCAUCUCAGAUUUCUCAGGCCAGGAUCCCAGUUUCGCAGCGGAAUCUCACUGCAACGGGACAUGGUGAAAUCCUGUUUUUCCCCAUUACCGUUUUCUCCUAUGUUUUUAACCCAAUCAUCUUUUCGCCUCACCCCAACCCUAAUUUGAACUAAAGGCUCUUGGAUUAGCAGUUUUCAUGCCAUUCAACCAAAACACUGCCCUCAGUUCCUCACCAUUCUUAAAUCUCAGCUUUCAUAAAAUUCUUUCAUGCCAUUCAUCUUCUUCGACACUGUAUCAUCUCAGUUUCAGCCAUGGAAUCAUAUAAGCCCCAAGCACCGACAUCAUCAUCACCACCACUACCACCAUCGCUGUUACAUAGUUGUUGAAUUUUUGUUAUGUCAUUGGUUUUGAGCUAUACUUUUUAUUUGGGUUAUAUCGGAUUUGGGUUAUAUCGGAUUUGCGUUAUGUCUUUACUUGUGUGUAUUUUUCUAUUUUUGAGCAUUUAUAUGCAUAGUAUAUACGUAAUUAGUUUCCCUAAAUGUCCAAACCCUGGCCAUCCCGAUAUUCCAUUUUUAGAGUCGGGCGCUCCACCAUCUAGGAUUGAGCACUUAGAUUGUAACAUACAUUUUGGCUUCUCAGUUACAACCUAAUAUGGUAUGUUGUGUUGUGCGAAACUUGUAAACCAUUUACUUCGGUAUGAGGCAUGUUCAGGCAAGAGCGUACUAAAUGUUUGCUUCUCCUUGAACCUACAAUGCAUGUAUGCAAGGAAUUCCGCCUCUACUUUUCUUUCUUUUCGUUACUCAGCAUGGCGAGUUCUGAUUUUUUAUAUAUUUUCGUCCUUUUAGCUGUAAAUAGGUAUGUCUAUAUUAUUGCACUUGUAAAAUAGGAAAGAACGGAUCUGGUCUUCUACUUUCAGAAUUAAAUAAACUCAGAACCUUCGUUCUUUUGCCCUAAUAGAAAGCGCCUCUGUAAGUCCGACUCAACUCUUCAUAGAGCUAACAUUGCAGAAUAACUAUCUGCAUUUUCCCUCUAUUUAGAUAAGUAUAUGCAAUACAGUCCUCAAAAAAAUCGAAGUUGUGGUAUGUUUCAUGUUUGCAUUCCCAAAUUAAUUCUAUUAGUUACUAUAUGUUUGACUAGAAUGUCAAUGAUUUAUGAAUCUUGCAUUUUACACUAAUGACCUUUCAGAAAGAGAAAGAUGACAACUCAUUGGAGGAGGUUCAUAGGCCCUCUUAUGUGGCGCUGUAAGUGGCUAGAAUUGAAGCUGAAGAUACUCUCGUCUCAGCAACUUAAAUACGAUAAAGAGCUUACGGCAUACAAAUGUAAAAGGCAGCUUGAGUUUUCGAAGUACACAGUAGAUGGUUUUGAUGUUAAGUCAGUACCUAUAUCUAAUGCGAUUCAUAGGAAUAAAGUAAUGAAGAGAAAGAAAAGGAAGAAAGGUGAAGAUUGUGAUGUAUCAUCAUACAUGUCUCACCAUAAUAUAUUCUCCUACUAUGGUAUGCAUUUCUUGGUCGAUUCAUUAUAGCACUUUUUGUACAAUGUAUGUCUCAUCUAUAAGUGCAUCGAUUUUUCUCUCUUCUUUUAUUUUGCAGAGAACAAAGAUUCUGCUGAUGGUGCUUGUUUGGAAGAUUUUCCUGGUGUUGCAAAAAGAGGUAAUGCUGACAAUAAUGAGGACCAAGGAUUGAAAUUUGUGGGGUUUUCGGUAGAUCAUGACGAUAAUGACAAAUUUUUGGAUGACAUCAUUCAAAAGAUUGAAGCAUUACAGUCUCAUGUUCAGAAAUUGAAAACUCAGAUUGACAAGGUGGUUAGUGAAAAU